CAAAGUGUAUUAUAACCUGGAGGACUGUGCCACAACCCUGUGAGAUGUUGUCGCCUCGCUUUGCCUUAUCUGAAUCUCAACAGGCUUUUCCACGAUACUAUCAGAUCAGCUGCUCUUGCAUGUGUGGUACAUGGAACACUAUGCUAUGUUAGCCGAGCACCAUGAGUCCCUGCAGAGAAGGUCAUUCUGAUUGCCCCUCUACCUUGCUGUCUGUUGUGAGUUGGGGUUUCACCAUGUUGACCACGCUCGUCUCAGACUCCUGGCCUCAAGUAGUUCGCCCUCCUCAGAUAUCCCUUUUAGUUCCUAAAAGUUGUUCUUUAGAUCCAGACACUUAAUUACAGGUUCAACUGUGUUUUUUUAAGGCAAGAACGCUCCAUAGGUGCUACUCUAUACUUACUAUGGCACAACACCAUAAUGCUCAUGUCAGGCCUCUGAGCCCAAGCUAAGCCAUCAUAUCCCCUGUGACCUGUAUGUACACAUCCAGAUGGCUGGUUCCUGCCUUAACUGAUGACAUUCCACCACAAAAGAAGUGAAAAUGGCCUGUUCCUGCCUUAACUGAUGACAUUGCCUUGUGAAAUUCCUUCUCCUGGCUCAUCCUUGCUCAAAAGCUCCCCUACUGAGCACACUGUGACCCCCACUCCUGCCCGCCAGAGAACAACCCCCCUUUGACUGUAAUUUUCCUAUACCUACCCAAAUCCUAUAAAACAGC